rnacentral:rRNA from 1 species
AGAGCUCAAAUUUAUAAUCUGGCACCUUCGGUGUCCGAGUUGUAAUCUCUAGAAAUGUUUUCCGCGUUGGACCGCACACAAGUCUGUUGGAAUACAGCGGCAUAGUGGUGAGACCCCCGUAUAUGGUGCGGACGCCCAGCGCUUUGUGAUACAUUUUCGAAGAGUCGAGUUGUUUGGGAAUGCAGCUCAAAUUGGGUGGUAAAUUCCAUCUAAAGCUAAAUAUUGGCGAGAGACCGAUAGCGAACAAGUACCGUGAGGGAAAGAUGAAAAGCACUUUGGAAAGAGAGUUAACAGUACGUGAAAUUGUUGGAAGGGAAACGCUUGAAGUCAGACUUGCUUGCUGAGCAAUCGGUUUGCAGGCCAGCAUCAGUUUUCCGGGAUGGAUAAUGGUAGAGAGAAGGUAGCAGUUUCGGCUGUGUUAUAGCUCUCUGCUGGAUACAUCUUGGGGGACUGAGGAACGCAGUGUGCCUUUGGCGGGGGUUUCGACCUCUUCACACUUAGGAUGCUGGUGGAAUGGCUUUAAACGACCCGUCUUGAA